rnacentral:rRNA from 1 species
UUGGAGUCUGCAACUCGACUCAUGAAGUCGGAAUCGCUAGUAAUCGUAGAUCAGAAUGCUACGGUGAAUACGUUCCCGGGCCUUGUACACACCGCCCGUCACACCAUGGGAGUGGGUUGCAAAAGAAGUAGGUAGCUUAACCUUCGGGAGGGCGCUUACCACUUUGUGAUUCAUGACUGGGGUGAAGUCGUAACAAGGUAACCG